UACGUAGGGGGCAAGCGUUGUCCGGAAUCAUUGGGCGUAAAGCGCGUGUAGGCGGCUUGGUAAGUCUGCUCUGAAAGCCCGGGGCUCAACCCUGGGAGGCGGGUGGAUACUGCUGAGCUCGAGUCCGGAAGAGGCGAGUGGAAUUCCUGGUGUAGCGGUGAAAUGCGCAGAUAUCAGGAGGAACACCAAUGGCGAAGGCAGCUCGCUGGGACGGUACUGACGCUGGAGACGCGAAAGCGUGGGGAGCAAACAGG
rnacentral:rRNA from 1 species